ACUGAGGAAUGAUGACAAUAAAAGGCCGAAUUGCAGUGCUUCCAUAAGCAGUUUGCUCUCUACAUGGAGCACAAUGACAAAGACUCCUGAAGCGAACUAUUGAUCUGACCUCAGU
rnacentral:snoRNA from 13 species